rnacentral:rRNA from 1 species
GACAGAGGGUGCAAACGUUGCUCGGAAUCAUUGGGCGUAAAGCGCGUGUAGGUGGCUCUCCACGUCGGAUGUGAAAGCCCGGGGCUCAACCCCGGCAGUGCAUCCGAAACGAGGGAGCUAGAGUGCUGGAGAGGCGGGUGGAAUUCCCGGUGUAGAGGUGAAAUUCGUAGAUAUCGGGAGGAACACCAGUGGCGAAGGCGACCCGCUGGCCAGCAACUGACACUGAGACGCGAAAGCGUGGGGAGCAAACAGG